AUGAACGCUAGCUACAGGCUUAACACAUGCAAGUCGAGGGGCAGCAUGAACUUAGCUUGCUAAGUUUGAUGGCGACCGGCGCACGGGUGAGUAACACGUAUCCAACCUGCCGAUGACUCGGGGAUAGCCUUUCGAAAGAAAGAUUAAUACCCGAUGGCAUAGUUCUUCCGCAUGGUAGAACUAUUAAAGAAUUUCGGUCAUCGAUGGGGAUGCGUUCCAUUAGGUUGUUGGCGGGGUAACGGCCCACCAAGCCUUCGAUGGAUAGGGGUUCUGAGAGGAAGGUCCCCCACAUUGGAACUGAGACACGGUCCAAACUCCUACGGGAGGCAGCAGUGAGGAAUAUUGGUCAAUGGACGAGAGUCUGAACCAGCCAAGUAGCGUGAAGGAUGACUGCCCUAUGGGUUGUAAACUUCUUUUAUACGGGAAUAAAGUGAGGCACGUGUGCCUUUUUGUAUGUACCGUAUGAAUAAGGAUCGGCUAACUCCGUGCCAGCAGCCGCGGUAAUACGGAGGAUCCGAGCGUUAUCCGGAUUUAUUGGGUUUAAAGGGAGCGUAGGCGGACGCUUAAGUCAGUUGUGAAAGUUUGCGGCUCAACCGUAAAAUUGCAGUUGAUACUGGGUGUCUUGAGUACAGUAGAGGCAGGCGGAAUUCGUGGUGUAGCGGUGAAAUGCUUAGAUAUCACGAAGAACUCCGAUUGCGAAGGCAGCUUGCUGGACUGUAACUGACGCUGAUGCUCGAAAGUGUGGGUAUCAAACAGGAUUAGAUACCCUGGUAGUCCACACAGUAAACGAUGAAUACUCGCUGUUUGCGAUAUACAGUAAGCGGCCAAGCGAAAGCGUUAAGUAUUCCACCUGGGGAGUACGCCGGCAACGGUGAAACUCAAAGGAAUUGACGGGGGCCCGCACAAGCGGUGGAGUAUGUGGUUUAAUUCGAAGCAACGCGAAGAACCUUACCAGGGCUUGACAUCCUACUAACGAAGUAGAGAUACAUCAGGUGCCCUUCGGGGAAAGUAGAGACAGGUGGUGCAUGGUUGUCGUCAGCUCGUGUCGUGAGAUGUUGGGUUAAGUCCCGCAACGAGCGCAACCCCUGUUUCUAGUUGCCAGCAUGUAAAGAUGGGAACUCUAGAAAGACUGCCGUAGAUAAUACGGAGGAAGGUGGGGAUGACGUCAAAUCAUCAUGCCCUUUAUGUCCUGGGCUACACACGUACUACAAUGGAUGUUACAAAGGGAAGCGAAGUAGUGAUAUGGAGCGAAACCCAAAAAGCAUCCCCAGUUCGGAUUGUAGGCUGAAAUUCGCCUACAUGAAGCCGGAAUUGCUAGUAAUGGCAGGUCAGCAUACUGCCGUGAAUACGUUCCCGGGCCUUGUACACACCGCCCGUCACACCAUGAGAGUUGGGGAUACCCGAAGCCUGUGAGCCAACAGUUAAAUGGGGCAGCAGUCGAAGGUAGAAUCAAUGAUUGGGGUG
rnacentral:rRNA from 1 species